rnacentral:rRNA from 1 species
UACGUAGGGGGCAAGCGUUAUCCGGAUUUACUGGGUGUAAAGGGAGCGUAGACGGUAAUGUAAGUCUGAUGUGAAAGCCCGGGGCUCAACCCCGGGACUGCAUUGGAAACUAUGUAACUAGAGUACCGGAGAGGUAAGCGGAAUUCCUAGUGUAGCGGUGAAAUGCGUAGAUAUAUGGAGGAACACCGGUGGCGAAAGCGGCUCUCUGGCCUGUAACUGACACUGAGGCUCGAAAGCGUGGGGAGCAAACAGG